rnacentral:rRNA from 1 species
GAUGAACGCUGGCGGCGUGCCUAACACAUGCAAGUCGAGCGGCCGGACGGGAAGCUUGUUUCUCUGAUGGUAGCGGCGGGCGGGCGAGUAACGCGUGCAUCACAUACCUCUAUGUCUGGGAUGACAUCGAGACGCCGGUUAUUAUAGCAGAUAAUACGUUACACCGGAGGGUGCAUAAGGGAAGGGGGGUCUUGUUGGCAUUUAUAGCCGGCCCCGCGCUGCAUUAGCUAGUUGGUAAGGUACCGGCUUGCCAAGGCAACGAUGCGUAGCCGACCUGAGAGGCUGAUCGGCCACACUGGAACUGAGACACGGUCCAGACUCCUACGGGAGGCAGCAGUAGGGAAUCUUCCGCAAUGGGCGCAAGCCUGACACAGCCACGCCGCGUGAGUGAUGAAGGCCUUCGGAUCGUAAAGCCCUUUUAUUAGGGAAGAACAUUUGUUGGAGUAAAUCUAGCCAUCUUGACGGUACCUAAAGAAAAAGCCACGGCUAACUACGUG